AUUUGUCUGGUUAAUUCCGAUAACGAACGAGACCUUAACCUGCUAACUAGUUCUCAAUACACUGUAUUGUGAUACUUCUUAGAGGGACUAUGUAAAUCAAUUACAUGGAAGUUUGAGGCAAUAACAGGUCAGUGAUGCCCUUAUAUGUCCUGGGCUGCACGCGUGCUACACUGAUGCAUACAACAAGUGCCUAGCCAGAUAUGGUAUGGCAAUCUCGAAUAUGCAUCGUGAUGGGGAUAGAUCUUUGCAAUUAUAGAUCUUGAACGAGGAAUCCCUAGUAAGUGCAAGUCAUCAUCUUGCAUUGACUAUGUCCCUGCCCUUUGUACACACCGCCCGUCGCUCCUACCGAUACCGGGUGAUCCGGUGAACCUUUUGGACUCCGUAUGGGGAAAGAUAAGUAAGCCAUAUCACCUAGAGGAAGGAGAAGUCGUAACAAGGUUUCCGUAGGUGAACCUGCRGAAGGAUCA
rnacentral:rRNA from 1 species